rnacentral:rRNA from 1 species
GGACGAACGCUGGCGGCGCGCCUAACACAUGCAAGUCGAACGAAGCACUUUAACGGAAGUUUUCGGACGGAAGUUAAAUUGACUGAGUGGCGAACGGGUGAGUAACACGUGAGCAACCUGCCCUUGAGUGGGGGACAACAGUUGGAAACGACUGCUAAUACCGCAUAAUAUCACGAGGAGGCAUCUUCUUGUGAUCAAAGAUUUAUUGCUUAAGGAUGGGCUCGCGUCCGAUUAGAUAGUUGGUGAGGUAACGGCUCACCAAGUCGACGAUCGGUAGCCGGACUGAGAGGUUGAUCGGCCACAUUGGGACUGAGACACGGCCCAGACUCCUACGGGAGGCAGCAGUGGGGAAUAUUGGGCAAUGGGGGAAACCCUGACCCAGCGACGCCGCGUGAGGGAUGACGGUCUUCGGAUUGUAAACCUCUGUCUUUAGGGACGAUAAUGACGGUACCUAAGGAGGAAGCCACGGCUAACUACGUG